CAGGCGCCCAGAGUCGUGUGCUCGUGGACACUCAGUGAGCCGCAGCCAUCCCUCCCCAUUCUGCUGACAGUGUCCCCACCUCCCAGAUGAGGAAACAGAGGCAGACGGGGUGAAGUGACUGUCCAGCAUCACACAGCUGGGAAGCGAGGUCGGAUUUAAACUGCAGCCUGGCAUUCUCUCCGCUGCCCAGCCCAGCCGCCCCUUAAGUGCUUCCGGUAACCCAGGCACCCUCCACCCUUGGCCUGGGGACACAAAGGCAAAUGGUCCCCGGCCUCCAAGAGCUUACAUCCAAAUGGGAACUGAGCUUGGUGUCUCGGAGCUGAAACAGGACAGUGUGAGGUAGCCGGCUGUCCGGGCAGCUUCGGGGGAGCUGCUGUGAGGAAAUGACCAGCGGCUGCUUUUGGAGAAGCUGGAGAGACUUACAGGAACCGAUGCCCAGGGCAGUGAGCAGAGCCAGGAGAUCAUGGUACACGGCCACAGCAUUAUGACGACCUGCUGCGAGGGACUCAGCCCUUUUCAACAAUGAGCUGGUUCAAGGCGGUUCCAGUCGACUUGGGAUGGAAAGUACCAUCUGCGGGCAGAGAGGCCCACGGGCACCGCAUGUGGACCAGCAGAGAUUUGCACCCUUCGUUGUUCGCUCGGUUCCCCCCUUUCUCAUGGUUUUUUCCUCCUUUUCUUGUGAAAUAUGUUUAGAAGAAAUGCACAUGUUUAACCUACACUGGAAUCCGAUAUCGCUUGCUGGCUGUCUGGGAGGGAGGGAGCAAACAAACAUAAGGCGUCGCAAGGGUGAACACUGGGAAGUCUUAUCGCCAUUCUGGGGAAAAUGCAAAGCUAUUAAAAGGAGCGGCUCAGUCUGAGGCCGUGAGAGGAUCGCCAGUGGGAGAAAGCCGGAGUUUGCUGAAGCAGCUCCGGGAAAGGGAAGUGGACACUGACUAACUGUUGUGUCCUCUCUCUCUCAUGGCUUUUCCCUUUUGCUGUUUUCUCUCAUGAAGGAAUAUGUAUUAAAAAAUUAAUGUACACGUGUAA
rnacentral:lncRNA from 1 species